CCAGACUCCUACGGGAGGCAGCAGUGAGGAAUAUUGGUCAAUGGGCGGAAGCCUGAACCAGCCAAGUCGCGUGAGGGAAGAAGGCCCUGCGGGCCGCAGACCUCUUUGGACGGGGAGCAAGGCCGCCGACGUGUCGGCGGAAGGAGAGUACCCGUAGAACAAGCAUCGGCUAACUCCGUGCCAGCAGCCGCGGUAAUACGGAGGAUGCGAGCGUUAUCCGGAUUUAUUGGGUGUAAAGGGAGCGUAGGCGGGACUGCAAGUUGGGUGUCAAAUCUACCGGCUCAACCGGUAGCCGCACUCAAAACUGCAGUUCUUGAGUGAAGUAGAGGCAGGCGGAAUUCCUAGUGUAGCGGUGAAAUGCGUAGAUAUUAGGAGGAACACCAGUGGCGAAGGCGGCCUGCUGGACGUCAACUGACGGUGAGGCGCGAAAGCGUGGGGAGCAAACAGGAUUAGAUACCCCCGUAAUA
rnacentral:rRNA from 1 species